GACCCCUUCAUCUAGCGGUCAAGGAUACCACAUUUUCGCUGUGGGAACAGAAGUUCAAAUCUUCUAGGGGUCGCCA
rnacentral:tRNA from 1 species